ACAGAUUUCCCAGGAACAACAGAGAUAAUUUGUCUGCUGCAUGGUUUGUUAGGAGAGAAACUGGGCUCUGGUGACUGCGUGGCUUGUAGACUAGGCCCAUGGCCUUUCACUUCAUCCUGCUCUUGCCUGCUGGUUCUCCCAGCCAUGCCGAUUAGAAGCGGGAGAAAUUAAGAUCUCCCCCUCGCUGCCCACCCGCCACAGGCUGCAGGAGCUGCUAGUUUGGAAGAAUUUGUUCAAAGCAAGGAACUUCUGCCCACAGUCAUCCCUUCCAUCUCUCCACUUCUACCCUUGGGCCUAAGACUUCACUGCCUCAGCUGUUGAGUAGACUUCUCUUGACAUCAUUAAUGUGCCCAAGAUGCCCUGUUUGCACAUAUUUGUGUGCCUUCCAAUUAAAAUGAUUCAUUAAACCUC